rfam:Arabis alpina cultivar Pajares chromosome 1, whole genome shotgun sequence.
GAAAAUGAUGAUAAGAUAUUGUCGCCCCAGUCUUACUUACAUUUUUACAAUGGAUGUAAUAUGGUGAUUGACUAUUUUCGUCUGAUUC